rnacentral:rRNA from 1 species
UGGGCGUAAGCGCGCGCAGGUGGUUUCUUAAGUCUGAUGUGAAAGCCCACGGCUCAACCGUGGAGGGUCAUUGGAAACUGGGAGACUUGAGUGCAGAAGAGGAAAGUGGAAUUCCAUGUGUAGCGGUGAAAUGCGUAGAGAUAUGGAGGAACACCAGUGGCGAAGGCGACUUUCUGGUCUGUAACUGACACUGAGGCGCGAAAGCGUGGGGAGCAAACAGGAUUAGAUACCCUGGUAGUCCACGCCGUAAACGAUGAGUGCUAAGUGUUAGAGGGUUUCCGCCCUUUAGUGCUGAAGUUAACGCAUUAAGCACUCCGCCUGGGGAGUACGGCCGCAAGGCUGAAACUCAAAGGAAUUGACGGGGGCCCGCACAAGCGGUGGAGCAUGUGGUUUAAUUCUAAUCAACGCAAAGAACCUUACCAGGUCUUGACAUCCUCUGAGAACCCUAGAGAUAGGGCUUCUCCUUCGGGAGCAGAGUGACAGGUGUUGCAUGGUUGUC